rnacentral:lncRNA from 1 species
AUGAUUGGCAUUCCAAUGUCCUGUGUUUCCACAGAAUUGAACUGUCAAGGAAAAAAGAUGGUUACUUAUUUUGGAGGGUUUGUAUGGGAGGUAGUGCUGGGGUUUGAACCUAGAGCCUUGCACAUACUAGGCAAGUAUCCUGCCACUAAGCUUCACCCAAAGCCCCCCCCACACACACACACACACACUUUCCUUAAAUAUAUUCCAUGGUAGUUUCAACUCUAAGAGUAUGUUAAUUUUUUUUUUUUUUUUUUUUUGAGACAGGGUCUUACUAAAUUGCUCAGGCUGCCUGAGCCUUCCAAGUAGCUAAGAUUACAGGUGUGCACCAUAUACCAGGCAUGUUAAUAGAUACUAUACAGAAGAGUUUGGAAAUAAUACAGAAAUAUAAGAUAGAACAGUUCUCAAUAGUGUGUAAAGUUAAAUCAUAGUAAACUUGGAACUGUUAAUUUGUACCAAAUACAUUUGAGAAUAUAGAGCCCUUGAUAAACCAGUACUCAUUAUAGGCUAUACUAUAUAUAGUAAUCAUUUAGGAUCUUCUAACUUAAAAGCACCUAGUCUGUUGUAGCUAAAGAAUGAUUGCUAGAGCACAGCAUGAAUAAUUACACCAAGUUUUUUAUUAUACUUAUGAUUGAUUGAUUGACUUUUCACUGCUCUCACUCAUGUUUAAGACAGAUUUUUGCCCUGGUUUUGGGUCAGAUCACAUCAUGAGAAAUUCCAGUCUGCUUUCUAUUGCAGUGUGUUUUGGGGUCUUCCUUCCUUCCUUUCCUUUCUUCCUUCCUUCCAUCCAUCCUUCUUUCCUUCUAAGUCUUGCCAGAAAUCACAUUCACAGGGUGAACAAGAUAUAUUUCUGAUUCUGUGGUCAAUUUAUAAGGAAAAGAAUUACCUCUGAUUAAGGGAGAGCUAGAGAAUACUUUAUCAUCAUGUAUUUUUGUGGUAGGAUAGGUUGUUAG